AGAGUUUGAUCAUGGCUCAGGAUGAACGCUGGCGGCGUGCCUAACACAUGCAAGUCGAACGGAAUUUACAUGAAGCCUAGCGAUUGUAAAUUUAGUGGCGGACGGGUGAGUAACGCGUGGGUAACCUGCCUUGUACUGGGGGACAACAGUUGGAAACGACUGCUAAUACCGCAUAAGCGCACAGCUUCGCAUGAAGCAGUGUGAAAAACUCCGGUGGUACAAGAUGGACCCGCGUCUGAUUAGCUGGUUGGUGAGGUAACGGCCCACCAAGGCGACGAUCAGUAGCCGGCCUGAGAGGUUGAACGGCCACAUUGGGACUGAGAUACGGCCCAGACUCCUACGGGAGGCAGCA
rnacentral:rRNA from 1 species